rnacentral:tRNA from 1 species
AAUAAAGUGCCUGAUAAAAGGGCUAUCUUGAUAGGAUAGAUUAUAUAUGAUUUUAUAUCUUUAUUU